CAGGUUUUUCUGCAUGGGUACCCGUAGCUGCUCUGUUCCUGGUUUAGAGGAGAAGGGGGAGGCAGUCGCGGCGCAUGCUGGAGGCUGGAGCUUGAGUUGGCUCGCCUCGCUGCUGCGGUUCCUGGCGGUGAGGGAGGCUACAGCACAGCCAGAAUGGUAAAAAGCUGGCGGAAUAGGUUCAUUAUCCCGGGAUGUACCGUCAGUGCUUUCCCGCCCCCGCACCGACCCGGAGGGGUCAUGAAGUUCCUGGCUCCCACCCAGAGUGCGUGUCUCUCCCUCCGGGGGUACCUCAAAGCGUCAAGAAGUUCCCAGGGAACGGGGUCAGGCGCCCAGGGUUCCAGGGAGAGUUUGAAGCAGGCUGCGGAGAAAAAGCGGCGAGGCCGAAGAAGAGGCUGGGUUCCCGUGAUGGAGGCUUGGCACUUGCCCUCAAAAAAGAUGGCGCGGAAGACCUCACGCGCCUCACGCGACCUGACCGCAGGACUCCUGCGCGGCUCAUAUCCCCGCACAGGGCGGCCGAGAGGGGAGGAGGAAGCAUGGACUGGAGGGCGGGUGUGGCCGGGGAGGCUCUUGGCAGCUGUUGUGUGGCUGCGCUGCUGGAGCUGCCGGGCGGGCGGGAUGCUGUACCCCCGGAGGAGACCCUCGCAGGAGCGCCAGGAGCUGGACGGCCUCUGGAGCUUCCGCGCCGACUUCUCCGACAGCGGAUACAGGGACUUCGAGGAGCAGAGAUACUGGGUCUGACUAUGUUAACCAGGCUGGUCUGGAACUCCUGGCCUGAAGCCAUCCUCCCACGUUGA
rnacentral:lncRNA from 1 species